ACGUAGGGUGCAAGCGUUGUCCGGAAUUAUUGGGCGUAAAGAGCUCGUAGGCGGUUUGUCGCGUCGGCUGUGAAAACCCGGGGCUCAACCCCGGGCCUGCAGUCGAUACGGGCAAACUAGAGUGUGGUAGGGGAGACUGGAAUUCCUGGUGUAGCGGUGAAAUGCGCAGAUAUCUGGAGGAACACCGGUGGCGAAGGCGGCAUCCUGGACCGAUACUGACGCUGAGGAGCGAAAGCCAGGGGAGCAAACGGGA
rnacentral:rRNA from 1 species